CACGUAGUUAGCCGUGACUUUCUAAGUAAUUACCGUCAAAUAAAAGGCCAGUUACUACCUCUAUCUUUCUUCACUACCAACAGAGCUUUACGAGCCGAAACCCUUCUUCACUCACGCGGCGUUGCUCCAUCAGACUUGCGUCCAUUGUGGAAGAUUCCCUACUGCUGCCUCCCGUAGGAGUUUGGGCCGUGUCUCAGUCCCAAUGUGGCCGAUCAGUCUCUCAACUCGGCUAUGCAUCAUUGCCUUGGUAAGCCGUUACCUUACCAACUAGCUAAUGCACCGCAGGUCCAUCCAAGAGUGAUAGCAAGAACCAUUACUUUUAAACUCUAGACAUGCGUCUAGUGUUGUUAUCCGGUAUUAGCAUCUUGUUUCCAGGUUGUUACUCCCUAGUCUUCUUGGGCAGGUUACCCACGUUCGUUACUCCGACCCCGUCCGCCGCGUCGUCUUGUGUUCUAGUUUCUAGUUUUGGUGACUAACGCUAACCUAAAUUCUAUCGUAGG
rnacentral:rRNA from 1 species